rnacentral:rRNA from 1 species
GACGAACGCUGGCGGCGUGCUUAACACAUGCAAGUCGAACGGAAAUGCCCUGCUUUUGUGGGGUGCUCGAGUGGCGAACGGGUGAGUAACACGUGAGUAACCUGCCCUUGACUUUGGGAUAACUUCAGGAAACUGGGGCUAAUACCGGAUAGGAGCUCCUGCUGCAUGGUGGGGGUUGGAAAGUUUCGGCGGUUGGGGAUGGACUCGCGGCUUAUCAGCUUGUUGGUGGGGUAGUGGCUUACCAAGGCUUUGACGGGUAGCCGGCCUGAGAGGGUGACCGGCCACAUUGGGACUGAGAUGCGGCCCAGACUCCUACGGGAGGCAGCAGUGGGGAAUAUUGCACAAUGGGCGGAAGCCUGAUGCAGCAACGCCGCGUGCGGGAUGACAGCAUUCGGGUUGUAAACCGCUUUCGCCUGUGACGAAGCGUGAGUGACGGUAAUGGGUAAAGAAGCACCGGCUAACUACGUG